GACGAACGCUGGCGGCGUGCCUAAUACAUGCAAGUUGAGCGCUGAAGGUUGGUACUUGUACCAACUGGAUGAGCAGCGAACGGGUGAGUAACGCGUGGGGAAUCUGCCUUUGAGCGGGGGACAACAUUUGGAAACGAAUGCUAAUACCGCAUAAAAACUUUAAACACAAGUUUUAAGUUUGAAAGAUGCAAUUGCAUCACUCAAAGAUGAUCCCGCGUUGUAUUAGCUAGUUGGUGAGGUAAAGGCUCACCAAGGCGAUGAUACAUAGCCGACCUGAGAGGGUGAUCGGCCACAUUGGGACUGAGACACGGCCCAAACUCCUACGGGAGGCAGCAGUAGGGAAUCUUCGGCAAUGGACGAAAGUCUGACCGAGCAACGCCGCGUGAGUGAAGAAGGUUUUCGGAUCGAAAAACUCUGUUGGUAGAGAAGAACGUUGGUGAGAGUGGAAAGCUCAUCAAGUGACGGUAACUACCCAGAAAGGGACGGCUAACUACGU
rnacentral:rRNA from 1 species